UGUGACAUAAACUUGAAAAGUGAGAGUCCCAACAAAAAAAUUGUGUGAAACUAUCUUUGAAUACUUCUUACAUUAAGAAAGGUAUGUGUUUAUUUAUUCAUGUUUUUUAUAUUUUUUUAGUCCAUGCUCUUGAAUAAUCUAAGAUUAGGAUCUUGUUCUCUUUAUACUUUUUGGCUAUCAUCUUUCGGUAAAAUUUCUUUUGUUCACUAGUUAGAUAUAUGUGUUUCCACAAUUUUCUAUUAAACUUGUUUCUGAGUAAUAAUUUCUCUAUUACCAAGUUUUUUCUGAUCUAAAGUAAUUUUGAUUUGAUUUCAAUUUUUUUAAGAUUUUUCAUUGAAAAAGACUUAUUUUAUACUCUAUUUAUUUACACUUAAUUCUCUUGUUCCGUAAUAUUAUCAUAAUUUUAAGUUAUAAUAAUAUUAUAUCAACACUAACAAUUCUUUAAAUGUUCAAAAUUGAAUUUUAAUAAUAAUUUUGUUUAACCAGGUGCUAGAUGUUUGAAGAUAGAUUGAGAAGUUUUGCAUGCAAGAUGCACGAAGUGAGACCAAAAGUGAAAAUGAAGUCAAUUUUCAAUCAUGAAGGAUCAAGAGUCCCAAAGACGCAACAACAAAACUCAAUAGCCUACAAAGAUGCAACAACUAAACUCACAUACCUUAGUUAAGGUGGUGUGAGUAAUAUAAAAAGGUUUUAUAGUAUACCUCAAAGUACAAUAGUGUUAAACAUGAUAUAGAAGAUAAUUAUGUAAUUAUUUUCUAUAUAAUUGUUUAACCUUACUUUUACUUUGAGGAGGUUUUUUCUAUAAAAUAUAUUAUAUAAGAAUAUAAAUUUAUAUAGUUUACAUUUUUUUAUAAAUAAUUAAUUUUAAAAUAAAACUAUUUUAUAUUUAUAAAAAAAAUAUUAUGUUAUUAUAAUUAGUAAUUAGGUUGACAAAUUGCAGGGUCGAAGAACUAAUUCAUUUGAAUAACCACCAUUUGGUUAGAAGAUGAAUUUGUUGCAUUGAACAACCUUAGAGUGCUACACAUAUUUAACAAGUUUAUAUUUUGUUGUAGUAACUAUUAAUGGUUGACCGUCUCGAAACCUUUGUCUCAAAUCACUGUAAUUUUUUUUCAACAGAAAAAGAAUAAAAUUAAAUGGAGUACUUUAUAGGUGUUUCAACCUUUAUACAAAAAAUAAAAUCCUUGAAAAAAUAUAUAUCAAGCCUUUAAAUGAUAAGGUCCAAAAAACUACAUAAAAACCAGUCUAUUAUUAACCAAAAUACAUCAAUUUUGAUUCUAUGGAUAUAUAUGAACCUUUAGUAUAUAUCUCAAUUUAUAAUUUUGAGAGUGAGAUUCAAUUUUUUAUAUUUUGUGGAUAUAUAUUAUCCUAAAGGUGAAAAGUGAAUGGUCGCAUAUGUUUAUUUUCAAUUAUUUAUUUACUUGGACAUAUAAAACUUUAGAUGAGUUUUAGUCUAUAUCUUUUGCCAUGACAACAAAUUUAUUGAGAGGUUGUAUGUUGUUACAUGGUAUAUUAUUUUCUUGUAUUAACCUUUUUCAUAUAUAAAAGGAAAAAGGAAAGCUAAUGUAAAAUGUAUUACUUUUGUGUAAUGUAAUGUGUU
rnacentral:lncRNA from 1 species